rnacentral:rRNA from 1 species
AUUGAACGCUGGCGGCAGGCCUAACACAUGCAAGUCGAACGAGUGGCGGAAGGGUGAGUAAUGUCUGGGAAACUGCCCGAUGGCGGGGGAUAACUACUGGAAACGGUAGCUAAUACCGCAUACCAUCGGAUGUGCCCAGAUGGGCUUAGCUAGUGGGUGGGGUAAUGGCUCACCUAGGCGACGAUCCCUAGCUGAUCUGAGAGGAUGACCAGCCAAACUGGAACUGAGACACGGUCCAGACUCCUACGGGAGGCAGCAGGGGGGAAUAUUGCACAAUGGGAGCAAGCCUGAUGCAGCCAUGCCGCGUGUAUGAAGAAGGCCUUCGGGUUGGAAAGUACUGUCAGCGAGGAGGCGUGACUCGCAGAAGAAGCACCGGCUAACUCCGUGCCAGCAGCCGCGGUAAUUC